CGGGGGAGGCCGGAUCCUGGGCUGUGUCCCGGCGCCCUGUGCUCCGGGGCUUGCGCUGGUGGAUUCGCGCUCCCGCCCCGCAGCCCCCU
rnacentral:pre_miRNA from 1 species